rnacentral:rRNA from 1 species
GACGGAGGGGGCAAGCGUUGUCCGGAAUUACUGGGCGUAAAGCGCUCGUAGGCGGUAUCAUACGGCGGUGGUGAAAGCUCCCGGCUCAACUGGGAGAGGCCCGCCGCAACGGUGGUACUUGAGGGUGGUAGAGGCAGAUGGAAUUCCUGGUGUAGCGGUGAAAUGCGUAGAGAUCAGGAGGAACACCCGUGGCGAAGGCGGUCUGCUGGGCCACACCUGACGCUGAGGAGCGAAAGCUAGGGGAGCGAACGGG